GGCCUAGAAACGGGUUGUUGUAAUAAUUGGGCCGAGUGAUUUCUCUUAGCACAGCAUUUCAGGUUUCAUUCAGAUAAAUACUUUCCUUAGCCCUAGCCGCCGCCGACUAUUCUACUCAGCAAGUCUGCAAAACACAAAUUUCUCUACGGUAAGAACUGCAAUUAACACUAACUUAUACCUCUAAUGGCGAGCAUUUCUUUUCCUUUAUCUCCUUUUCCAUAGGCCAGGUAUCUUUGAUUAUUUAUAUACUUUUUGUUUUGUAGAAUCUGUGAUCUAAUAUGUUCAAACCACUAAAUCCGUGAUAGGAACUAGCAGCGACGAGAAUCGCACUCCAAAAGCUCAGUGUGGGCAUACUACAGACUCCAUUCUCGUCUUUCAAGUAGAGAGCUCGGCAUGGGCGGCAUUGGAAAUAAAUAUAUCAGGUAAUUAUUGAACUUUCUUUUUCAAAUAAUAGUUACUCAUUAUUUUUGAAUUAUUAUUUUGUCUAUUAGUUUAAGCUAUUAUGAGUUUUUUGUCUAUUAGUUUAAGCUAGUUUUGCAAGCCUUUGUCACUUAUUAGUACUAGUAUUGUAUCCCGUGCAUUGCUAACUUAGCAAAUACACAAUUUGGGCUUAACUUGAAUGUGUGCUCUGCACUUGGUUUUGUAGCAUACAUUUGAAAAAAAAAUUAUGUUGUUUUCUUCGAAUUUUAUUUUUGUUUUUUUUCAAAAAGAUGAAUUUCUUUUUUAUCUAGAAUCAGUAUUCAAUAUUGUUGCAUAAUGUCUUUUCAUAAAUUGAAAAGAGCUAUGCUAAUUCAAAAGAGACAAUUAGGAAUAUAUGAUGGGGAAAAUAUAUUAGUAGCCUAAAAUAUAAGGGGGCUUAGCCCACUGGCCACCGGGUCCUCACUUAAGUGAAGUGACCCGGGUUCGAUCCCUCUUGGGAGCGAAUUGGAGAUUGGAGAUAUAAGGUGGAUUUGGUGAAUGGAGAGAUAAGGUGGUUCUUGGAGUGGAUGAGUAACUAAUUACUAACAUCUAACAUGACUUUGCCCGAUCAAAAAAAAAAAAGUAGCCUAAAAUAUAAAUACAGUUUUCAAAAGAGCCAUGAGUAUAAAACUAUAGCAAAAGUAGUCAUUUUGUAGUGAAAAGACAAGUAUAUCCUCAGUGAAGCCCACAAAUAAUAUAACAAUAAUAUAUUAAAAAUAAAAUAUAAAACAGAAUUGAGAAUUGCAAGAAAGGGACAACUUUAUAUCCUCUCUCUCUCUCUCUCGAUUUGUUCUCUGAGUUCUCUCCUCUCUCUUCCAUCUCUCUUCUCUUCUCUCUCUUAAAUAUAGAAACAACACUUUUUAUUUGAAAAAAAACAAUUCCUUUUAUUCCUUAAAUUUGGCCCACAAAAUCUUUUGUCUCUCUCCUAUAUUCUCACGUAUUCAUUCAAUACAUAUCACCAAACUUAAGGUUUUCUCCUCCACCAAACCCCGCCCCUCCCUCAUUCAUUACUUCUCACCAAACACUUGCCGCUGCACUAUGAUGGAUUCGCCCAAACAAUCCAAUCUUUUUUAUUUAGAUACAUUGUACAAUCUAAUCUAAUUAGCGGUUCAAUUUAAUUCUUAAUUUCUACUUAAAGGGAAAUUCUUGGAACAUGCACUAUUACUUUACCACCAAGAAUUUAAUUAACUCAAUUUAUAUUUAGGAUAUCCCAAUUGUGCUUCAUCUGUUUUGUUGUAGUGAAAAUGGUGAAAAGGUAUUUAUCUAGUUGGAUAAAUUAAAUGAGAAAAAUAUAUUAUUAAUCUAUUUUUUAAGCAGAAACUUCCUUAGCAAUUCAAAUCCUUUUAGUUUGUUUUUAAUUGAUGAAUCUUUUUCCAAGUUGUUUUUCUAAUUGUUGGUUUUACAAUUUUUAUAUGAAGAUUGUUUUCAACAAAAUUGAUUUAUAAUCUAUAAAGUGUAAUGUUAAUGUUUUUAUUUGAAUUAAAUAGCUUCAUGUUUUAUAUUUGCAGCCUCGUUAUGAAUGGAUGUGGCCGUGCAUGCAAAUCUAUCAAGUACGGAUGUGGCCGUGCAUGCAAACUGAGGAAGUCUCCCACGAGGUCGUGGUAAUCCUCCCGGCAAAAGAUGUAGUGGGCAGAGAUCUGCCUAGCCCACCCUCGCCACUCGGAGGGCAACAGUAGGAUCAAUCUCAUAAUAACGUCAUAUCCUGACACUUCAUGUGCACUCGCUUCGAUCCAGUGUCGGUGAAAACCUGCGAGGAACUGUCCGAGGUUAUCCCCGUGACAUGGGGCAUAGGUGCGGUAGGCCCGCUCGACCUCCUUUGGACUCGCCCAAGGGGGCAAUGGUCGACGUCGGGUGAAAACAGUCCUCGCCAUCUAACAAAAGAAGUUCUAUUGUUAAAUUAAAGUAAAACGUGACAUGUAACUUUAAGCGAUAAGGUUCUAAAUAUCUAUAAUCGGAAAACAAAGUUCGGUUCGAUAAACAAAACGUAUAAAAUCACAUCAUCUGAAUUUAGUAUUUAUGCACAAGUCAUACAGGUUCUUAAUACUUAAUCACAGAUUAAGAAUUCGACUAUCAUAUAGUUCUAGUGUUAUUGUUUACCGAUCUUAGGGUUUGUU
rnacentral:lncRNA from 1 species